AGAGUUUGAUCCUGGCUCAGAUUGAACGCUGGCGGCAUGCCUUACACAUGCAAGUCGAACGGUAACAGCACUUCGGUGGCUGACGAGUGGCGGACGGGUGAGUAAUACAUCGGAACGUGCCCGAUCGUGGGGGAUAACUACUCGAAAGAGUGGCUAAUACCGCAUACGAUCUACGGAUGAAAGCGGGGGAUCGCAAGACCUCGCGCGGACGGAGCGGCCGAUGGCAGAUUAGGUAGUUGGUGGGAUAAAAGCUUACCAAGCCGACGAUCUGUAGCUGGUCUGAGAGGACGACCAGCCACACUGGGACUGAGACACGGCCCAGACUCCUACGGGAGGCAGCAGUGGGGAAUUUUGGACAAUGGGGGAAACCCUGAUCCAGCCAUGCCGCGUGCAGGAUGAAGGCCUUCGGGUUGUAAACUGCUUUUGUACGGAACGAAAAGACUCUUUCUAAUACAGAGGGUCCAUGACGGUACCGUAAGAAUAAGCACCGGCUAACUACGUGCCAGCCGCCGCGGUAAUUC
rnacentral:rRNA from 1 species